GGGGGACGAGGGUGACAGGUGGUGCAUGGUUGUCGUCAGCUCGUGUCGUGAGAUGUUGGGUUAAGUCCCGCAACGAGCGCAACCCUCGACCUUAGUUGCCAGCAUUCAGUUGGGCACUCUAAGGUGACUGCCGGCUAAAAGUCGGAGGAAGGUGGGGAUGACGUCAAAUCAUCAUGCCCCUUAUGACCUGGGCUACACACGUGCUACAAUGGGCGGUACAAAGGGUCGCGAACCCGCGAGGGGGAGCCAAUCCCAAAAAGCCGCUCUCAGUUCGGAUUGCAGGCUGCAACUCGCCUGCAUGAAGCCGGAAUCGCUAGUAAUCGCGGAUCAGCAUGCCGCGGUGAAUACGUUCCCGGGCCUU
rnacentral:rRNA from 1 species